rnacentral:rRNA from 1 species
GACGGAGGGGGCUAGCGUUGUUCGGAAUUACUGGGCGUAAAGAGCGCGUAGGCGGUUUUGUAAGUUGGAAGUGAAAUCCCGGAGCUUAACUUCGGAAUUGCUUUCAAAACUAUUUAACUAGAGUACGGUAGGGGGUGAUGGAAUUCCAAGUGUAGAGGUGAAAUUCUUAGAUAUUUGGAGGAACACCAGGGGCGAAGGCGAUCACCUGGGCCGGUACUGACGCUGAGGCGCGAAAGCGUGGGGAGCAAACAGG